ensembl:lncRNA
AUCAUUGCGGCCCUGCUCUGAGCCCACUCAACAGCUCCACACCUUUCUGUGCUGUGGGCCAGCAGGCCUGGACACAGUACUCCAAAUGGGGCCUCAUGAGGGCGGAGUAGAGAGUCACCUCCCUCCCCCUGCUGGCCACCCUUCUUAUGCUGGAACCCCCCUUUUGAAACAGCCCAGGAUACUGCUGGUUCAUAUUUUCUGUCUACCACGAUCCCUAAGUCCUUCUCUGCAGGACUGCUCUCAGUGAGUUCUCCCAGUCUGCACACAUAUCUGGGAUUGCCCUGAUUCAAAUGCAACAGCUUGUUCUUGGCCUUCUUGUACCUCAUUAGGUUCAUGUGGGCCAACCUUUCAAGUUUGUCCAGGGAUGCCCCUGGAUGGCAUCCCUUCCUUCUGUUAUAUCAGUUGCACCACUCAGCUUGAUGUCAUCAGUAAAGUUGCUGAGAUUGCACUCAAUCCCAUCUACGUCAUUUAUAUUAAUGUUAAAAAGCACUGGUCCCAAGAUGGACCCCCAGAGGAUGCCACUAUGACCAGCCUCCACUUGGACACAGAAUCAUUGAUCACAGUGCUCUGGCUUUGGCCUUCCAACCAAUUAUUUAUCCACUAAAUAGUCCACCCUUGGAAAUUCUCUCUCCCCAAUUCAGAGAAAAGGAUGUGGUUCAGGACCAUGUCAAAGCCCUUGCACAAGUCCUGGUAGACAACAUCAGUUGCCAUUCCUUUGUCCAUCGAAUAUGUCACACCACUGUAGAAGGCCACUAGACUCGUCAGGCCCUUAGUGAAGCUACUCUGGCUAUUUUGGAUCACAUCCUCAUCUCACAGGUGCCUUAAGAUGUCUUCUAGGAGGAUCUAUGCCACAGUCUUCUUAAGCACAAAGGGAAUUGUUCUCAAGUACUGCCAAAGAUAAUUAAGCAUCAAAUUGUGCAACAUUUCGUUCCUAUUUUACUGCCAGAAGAAAAGAGCUGGAUUGAAGAUUUUUCUUUGGACACAGUCAGAUUUGAAGGUCCUGAAGUUCCAUUGUGUUCACACUGAUAUGACAGCAGAAAUAAGUAGAGGUUGGAUUAGCUGUGUUUGCCUUGAAAUGAAACAAUCCUUGGAUAGCGUAAAGAUGAUGCUGAGACUCUUACCUCUUACUGGCUUCUUCUGACUUAUGGGAAAUGGAACAUUCCAAAGGUGUGUCAGCGUGGCCAGAACAGCUCACACUCCUUCACAUCUGCCUUUGAAUAAAAAAUUAAAAUAGUUAAUCAGAUUUGUCACCUAAGCCUAUGGAAAAAGGCUGAGUAGAAAUAUAACUAAAGAAUUAUUACCUGUUCCUGUUCAGUGUUCAUGUUGAAUAGAAUUGCUACCAGCUGCCCUAGGUUUAACAGCAGAGCAACUUAGACCUUUGAUUUUCGUUUGUAAUUUCCACUAAACUAUUCACCUUGUUUGUACCCUGAGAUGUUGAUGAAAAGCUGUGCCAGAAUGUUGUCUUCACCUGAGAAUAGAAAGGAGAUAGGAGGAUGUCCAAAUGGCAAUUGCCAGCACUUUUCAGACUGCAUGCAGAACGUUGUCUGGCCAAAAAGAAUUUGUCCCCCAGUUCAAACCUUCAUAAAGGAGCCACAGAGAAAUCUGAUUAGCUAUUCUGUACUCAAGACCAAAAGCAGAAAACCAUAGAUCUUAAUCACCAUUCCCUUGGCUAUAUAGCUGCAUAUAUCACAAAAGUGAGCGUUAAAUGCUGGCAGAUCAAAAUGAUCCACUCCAGAUCCAGACCUCUAUGCUGGUUGCUUCCCUGUGGCAUAACUGAGUAGCUGGGACUGAGGCAAUACACAGAGCACUUAGUGCAGUACACUGCUGCGGAAGCACUGUGUUCAUUGUUAGGUACAUCUUUACCGUUCAUGGUUUGGCUUAACAGUCUGUCUGGAAUAGUAUCUGUUCUAACAGUGUGUCUGGCUAACAAGCACUUAUUUAUCCAAAGCACAAAGAGAUUUCUAAGUAACACAGGCUAUUCCAUUACUCACCUACCUAGUUGCAGCUAAUAAAUCAAAGCUCUUCUUGUUCUUUUAUCCUAAUAUCCUGGCCUCGUUUCUAAAAGUAGUGCCUCCACGUUUGUUGUGCAUGUGAUAAAUUCACUUACAAAUCCAAUCCUACAGGCACCCUACAGCUUUGCAGACACAUCUGUUAGGACAUUCUUCAAUUUUUUUUUCCAGUUAUAGAGAACAUGUAAAUCAAGUUUCUAUAAAACACCUAAAAAAUCAUAUUCGUCUACAGGAACAUAUAGUGACACAUUUGUUAUAAUCUUCAAUGAGCUGAUGCAUGGAAUUCAUUAAAAUAAUAAAAU